rnacentral:tRNA from 1 species
GGCUUUAUAGUCAAUAAUGAUAUUAGACUGCAAUUCUAAAGGAGUAAUGUAUUACUAAGGCUU